rnacentral:rRNA from 1 species
AGUGAACGCUGGCGGCGUGCUUAACACAUGCAAGUCGAACGAGAACGGAUUAUAGCUUGCUAUAAUUGUCAGCUAAGUGGCGCACGGGUGAGUAAUGUAUAGGUAAUAUGCCUCUUACUAAAGGAUAACAAAUGGAAACGUUUGCUAAUACCUUAUACUCCUUAUUAACCUAAGUUAAUAAGGGAAAGAUUUAUUGGUAAGAGAUUAGCCUGUAUUGUAUCAGUUAGUUGGUGGGGUAAUGGCUUACCAAGACUAUGACACAUAACUGGUUUGAGAGGAUGAUCAGUCACACUGGAGCUGAGACACGGUUCAGACUCCUACGGGAGGCAGCAGUGGGGAAUAUUGCACAAUGGACGAAAGUCUGAUGCAGCAACGCCGCGUGGAGGAUGACACAUUUCGGUGCGUAAACUCCUUUUAUAUGAGAAGAUAAUGACGGUAUUAUAUGAAUAAGCACCGGCUAACUCCGUGCCAGCAGCCGCAGUAA